UGCUAGUCCGAUGGCAGUGGGUUUCAGAACUUAUUAACAUUAGUGUCAAUAAAGUUGGUAUACCACCCCCUCACUGCUAAAUUUGACUGGCUUUAA
ensembl:misc_RNA Y_RNA Y RNA